AUUGAACGCUGGCGGCAUGCCUAACACAUGCAAGUCGAACGGCAGCACAGCAGUAGCAAUACUGUGGGUGGCGAGUGGCGGACGGGUGAGGAAUACGUCGGAAUCUGCCCAGUCGUGGGGGAUAACUAGCCGAAAGGUUAGCUAAUACCGCAUACGACCGAGAGGUGAAAGCGGGGGACCGCAAGGCCUCGCGCGAUUGGAUGAGCCGACGUCGGAUUAGCUAGUUGGCGGGUAAAGGCCCACCAAGGCGACGAUCCGUAGCUGGUCUGAGAGGAUGAUCAGCCACACUGGAACUGAGACACGGUCCAGACUCCUACGGGAGGCAGCAGUGGGGAAUAUUGGACAAUGGGCGCAAGCCUGAUCCAGCAAUGCCGCGUGUGUGAAGAAGGCCUCGGUGUAAG
rnacentral:rRNA from 1 species